rnacentral:lncRNA from 1 species
GUCAUGAUGGAUGGAUAAUUUUGGAGGGAAUUGACAUUUCUAUGAAAUUGCAUUUUUAAUCCAUUAAAAGAAGGGGAUAGAGCCUUUCUUUUAAAUUUUUAUUAAUAAGGAAUUGUAAUUUUUUGAUGUAGUGCUCUUCACCUUUCUGUUAAGUUUAUUACAGGCUAUUUGAUACAUACUUUUAUUGCCAUUUGUUGUAAAUGGUGUUUCUUUCAAAUAUUAUUAUUAUUAUUAUUUUUAUUUUUAUGGCCACACGCAUGGCAUAUGGAGGUUCAUGGGCCAGGAGCCUCAGCUGUGACCUACACCAGGCGGGCAACACCAGGUCCUUUAACUCACUCUGCUGUGCCGAGAAUUGAAUUCAUGCCUCCACAGUGACCCGAGCUACUGUUGUUGAAUUCUUAACCCACUGCACAAUAGCGGGCACUCCAAAAAGCAAAUAUUUUUUAUGUGCUGAACUUGAAUUUAGCUUGGUUGCUAACCUCACUUAUUCCUUUUACUAAUUGAUAGAUUCUUUUGGAUCUUCUAAAUCCACAACUUUUCAUUUCCUUUCUAACUCAUGUUUUUAAUUUCUUUUUCUUGAUGUAUCAUUGAUUUCGAAAGCAAACUUUUCAGUGUUGCAUCUUGGAGAACCGGUUCCUCUUUCCUACCUUUCUGAGUCCUGGAUAACAAUCCUCGAUUUCUCUGUGAUGCUGCUAAAAGCAUGGGUUAGUCACCUCCUCUGAAACUGAUAUUCUUUCUCAGGUUAAAGAAAAAACCAGCAUCCCCAAAUGCUAAGCCUCCCUGGGCUUCCAUUUUCCGUUGAUCAUGACUUAGUAAUUCUUCAUUGAUUUGUUAGCUUUGUGUUUCCUUUGCUUGUUUUUAAUUUUUAAUGUUAUCUACUUUUGCUCUGGUUGUCAUGAGAGAGGGCAGAUCAAAUAAUCUAUCCCAUCCUUAGCAGAAGCGUGUCACAAUAUUUUUAACUUUUUAACAGCUUGGGGUAUAAUUUAUAUGCUGUAGCAUCUAGCAAUUGUAAGUGUACAAGUCGAUGAAGUUUAGUUAAUGGACAAGAGUUGGGUAGUAAGGAUCACAAUCCAGUUUUAGAACAUUUCCGUCCCCUAAAUGUUGCCUCAUGACUCUUUGCAAUCAGUUCCCAGACUGUCACUGACGUGCUAUGUUUGUAUGAUUAUAGAUUUGCAUUUUUUUAUAAAGUUCUUGUAAAUUGAAUUGUAUGUAAUAUGUAGUCUUUGUGUCUGGCUUCUAUCAUUUUAACAUAAUGAUAUCAAUUUCAAUGCAUGUUGUUCCAUGUUAUGAUUUCUUGUUUCCAGUGUACAAGUUUUUUUUUUUUUUUUUUUUUUUUUUUGGUCUUUUUAGGGCCACCCCCAUGGCUAGGGGCUGAAUUGGAGCUGUAGCUGCCAGCCUACGCCACAGCCACAGCCAGAGCCAUGUGGGAUCUGAGCUGAGUCGGUAACCUACACCACAGCUCACGGCAACACCAGAUCCUUAACCCACCGAGCAAGGCCAGGGAUUGAACCUGCGUCCUCAUGGGAUGCUAGUCAGAUUCGUUCGCCGCUGAGCCACGACGGGAACUCCUUCAAUAUUUUGUACUGUUUUCUCUAAUCCCAAAUAUUUGCUUUGAUACUAUUGUGAAUGGCAGUGCUUUCUUAAUUUUAUUUUUGGAUUGUUUAUUGCUGGUAUAUAGAACUACAAUUGAUGUCAGGUCAGUAGGGUUGAUAGUGCUGUUCAGGUGGUUUAUAUCUUUACUGAUUUCCUGUCCAGUUACUCUAUUAUUUAGAAUGAAUUAUUGAAAUCUCCAACUGUAAUUAUUGAGUCAUCUAUUUCUUCUUUCAGUUCUUUCAGGUUUUUCUUUUUUUAUUUGGGGGCUCCCUUAUUAGAUUCACAUUUAUUUAUAACUUAUAUAUCUUCUUGACAUAUUAAACCUCUUAUCAUUAAGAAAUCUUUCUUUUUCUCUAUAAAAAAAUUCAUCUUAAAAGUGAUUUUACAUGAUGCUAAUGCAGCCAUUUCGGCUUUCUUAUUGUUAAUGUUUGUGUGUUGUAUAUUUUUGCAUCUUUUUACUUUGAUUUGUUUGUAUCUUUGAGUCUAGAGCUCUGGUAGAUAAAAUAUAAUUGAAUCUUACUUAAAAAACACAACCCAGUCAGAUAAUCUCUGCCUUUUGUUGAGAAUGUUUUGUCCUUUCACAUUAAUUUGAUAAUUGGUUUCGUUAGAUUUAUAUCCACCCUUUUGAUAUGAAUUUUCAAUAUGUCUCAUAGCUUAAAAAUUUUUUCUAUUCCUUCUUUACUGCCUUCUCUUGUAUUAAAUAAGCAUUUUUAGUAUGCCAUUUUUAUUUCCCUAUUUUUUUAAACAGUGUAAUUUUUUUCUAUGGGUUUAAAUGGGUUCUGUGGGUUUUAUGCUCUGUGGCUUUGAAAUACAUUGAUGUAUCACUGUUUCAUAUUGACACUCAGGUAAUUCAAGUAAAAUUUAGCCACUUCACUUCCAUAUAGCUCCAUUUCCUCUCCCUCCUUUAUGAUAUUAUUAUCAUAUAUAUUAUAUGUGUUUUAAACCCAAUAACGCAAUUUUAUAAUUACUCUCUUCAGUCUUAUGCUUUUGGAAGAAAUUAAG